UUUCCAAAAACUUUCAUUUUUCUUUCUUCUUCAAAAAAACCCCCAAAAAUCCUCUCAACUCUCCCAUUUUCUCUCCGAGCGCCGGCCAAGGGUCCGGCCGAGGGCCACCGCACAGGUCGUCGGCGCCGGCUCCGCCGUACACGGCGGCGGGAAGACCAAAAGUCUCCCUUUUUUUCGCCGAAUGGUCUCCUCGUCCUCCUGAUCGCUCCGGCAUCGAUAAAAAGGGGCGAUUGGAGCAGGUGGGGUUGGUGGCGAUGUGACUGUGGCAGUGGCAAGUGGGCAGGUGGCCGUGACUUACGGCGUUGGAGGCUGAAGACCUAGGUGCGGCGCACCUAGGGUUUUCCCUUAGUUGAAAAUUGGCAUAAUUUUUUGGGCCAUUUGGGCUUAGGGUUUGAUUUGUUUGGGUUGUGUUGUUUUUGGGUUUGUUUUGGGCUGUUUGGAUUUAAUUUGGGCUUGAUGUGUCAUGGGUUGUUUGGGUUUAAUUUGUUUUGGGUUUGCUAAAAGUUUGGGUUUGUAUUGGUUUUGGCCCCGGGAAAAUUUGGGCUGUUCAAGUAGCAUGAGAGGUGAAUACAAUAUUCCAAUAUGGAAGAAUGCAUUGGCGGAAUCCAGUCGUAACAUAUUGAGUAACAUCGGUAUCAAAGACAUGAUGUAUUAGCAAAUGAGAUCCAAUGAUAAGUGCUAAAAGUAACAUGUUUUAACUUUA